GACGAACGCUGGCGGCGUGCUUAACACAUGCAAGUCGAACGGAAAGGCCCUGCUUGCAGGGUACUCGAGUGGCGAACGGGUGAGUAACACGUGGGUGAUCUGCCCUGCACUUCGGGAUAAGCCUGGGAAACUGGGUCUAAUACCGGAUAGGAGCCAUUUUUAGUGUGAUGGUUGGAAAGUUUUUUCGGUGUAGGAUGAGCUCGCGGCCUAUCAGCUUGUUGGUGGGGUAAUGGCCUACCAAGGCGGCGACGGGUAGCCGGCCUGAGAGGGUGGACGGCCACAUUGGGACUGAGAUACGGCCCAGGCUCCUACGGGAGGCAGCAGUGGGGAAUAUUGCACAAUGGGCGCAAGCCUGAUGCAGCGACGCCGCGUGGGGGAUGACGGCCUUCGGGUUGUAAACUCCUUUCGCUAGGGACGAAGCUUUUUGUGACGGUACCUAGAUAAGAAGCACCGGCUAACUACGUG
rnacentral:rRNA from 1 species